AGAGCCAAAUAAAUAGGGGCACCCAGCUCUAGUCAGUCCAUUGAACUCAACAAGCAGAAUCUAGGUGUCCUCACCAUGACUUGGUCUCCACUACUACUUAUCUUCCUUCAUCAUGUAACAGGGUCAUGUGCCCAGUUUGUGCUAACCCAGCCAAACUCUGUGUCUGGGUCUCUUGGCAGCACAGUCAUCAUCUCCUGCAAGCGCAGCAGUGGUAAUAUUGGAAGCUACUAUGUGUACUGGUACCAGCAACAUGUUGAAAGUCCACCCACCAAUGUGAUCUAUAAUAACAAUAAAAGACCAUCUGGGAUUCCUGAUCGGUUCUCUGGCUCCAUUGACAGCUCCUCCAACUCAGCCUCUCUGACCAUCACUAAUCUGCAGAUUGAAGAUGAGGCUGUCUACUUCUGUCGGUCUUAUGAUGAUAGUGAUAAUAAACACAGUGAUGAGAAUCAUGGGGAAGUAAGACAAAAACUCUGUAGAGCACCAGUUGUGAGAUCAUUAGUGAAAAGGACUAUUGUUAUUUUAGGUCUCCUACUUAAGUACUUAUGUUAGAAUUGCCAAAUAAUAAUUUCCUCUAUGCUCAGUGCAAGAUUCUACUUUCUCCUCCCUCAUAUGGAUGACUGACCUCUUUGCAUGUUUAGGCUUGAUCUAUGAGGUAGAAACAGUUGAAAACAGAAAUUCUUUAUGGCAAUACUACUGACAUUUUGCAUCAGAGAUUUCCUUACAUGUUUGACGUGUUUAGCACCAUCUGUGUUCAUAAGUCAUUGCAUAUUUUAAAGUUAUCUUUUCAUUUGACGUCACUAACUCUCUGUAUUGCCAAAUGUAUCUGUAACAUUGUAAGUGCCAC